CUGCAACAACGACGACUACCACCACCACCACCACCUCUACCACCAUGUCUGCCCCCCCGACGACGACCACUGUUGCUUCCAUGACAUCAAGCUCCUCCAUCGCCACAACAAGAACCAAUGUUGACUCCACCACGACCCCUGGAGGAUUGAUGGGGGGCUUGACCACCACACCAGUCGGCUUCACCAGCACACCUGAAGGUUCGACCACCCCGCCCGGAGGAUGGACGACCACGCCAGCCGGCUAGACCACCAUGACAAAUGGCGGCUAGACCAGAAGUCCCUCCUCCACCAGCUUUUCUUAAAAAUAAACAUUGUAUUACUCAGUCA